GAUGUGCUCCGUCUUCCUGGUUUUAGUCAGAAUGCAAGGUUUGUUUGUUUAACAAAAUCACGGCACUGUUUGUUGCGACUUAAUAUACUUUUCUUCAUAAACUCAACCUGGUUUUAAUUAAGCUCAUUAUGCGAAAGAGACUUUGAUAUUGUGAGGCUGUUAUAACUCAUCAUUGUUUUUAUCUUCAACAUAUUUUUGCAGUCUAAGCAAAUUAAGAUGAAAGAGGAAGCCAGUGAACAAGAAUUAGAAAACCUAAAGACUUUCCUGUCUCAGAAGAGGCUCUGGCUCCACCAGAUCACCAACCAGUUCUGAGGAUGAACCUCCACAUCGUCUUCAUGGUGGAAGGCUCUUUGUUUUUUUACACUGAGCAGCUGGCCACAUUUUUAACAGCAAAAACUGGGCCCUGUGAUGGACUGGUGACCUGUCCAGGGUGAACCCCGCCUCUCAUCUGAUGACUGCUAGAGAUGGGCACCACCAGCCCCCCUCACCACCAUGCAAGGAUCAGAGUGUUCAGAUCAUGGAUGGAAAGAUUUUAAGGCAAAGAAGUCACCCAGAAAUGUUUUUCCACACCAGGCAUCCGGUCCCAAUCAUUGCCAGUUCUGAUGAUGCCACAUACAUAGUGAGUCCACAACGUCUAAAAAUUGUUUCUGUAAAGUGCAGUGGUCCAGUGAAUGGGAAUGUUCUGCUGAUCCUCACUGUUCUUAGGAAGGA